CUUAAGAAAAAAUUUAAUUUUUUAAAGUUAUUUUUUUUUAUUUAAUUUUUUAAGUAAAAAUAUUAACUUAUUUAUUCUUUAAGGGAUAAGCUUUGAAGUUAAUAACCUAUAAUUUAUUUUAUAGAAAUAUAAUAGUAAGCUUUAAACCAGCUAUCUUUAAGAUUACGUUUUAGUUCAUUAUUUUUUAUUUUGAUUUUAUAAAUAUUUUAGGUUUUUUAUUAAGAUUAUUAAUUUAAUUUUAAAAUUUUUGUAAUAAUGAUAGAAUUAGUAUAUUUAUUUGUAUGAAAUUUUUACCUUCUGAACUUAUUAUAAGGAACUAGGCAAAAUUGAUUUCCGACUGUUUAUCAAAAACAUGUCCUCUUGUUUAUAUUUUGAGGUCUGGCCUGCUCACUGAGCGUAUUUUUAAAGAGCCGCGGUAUUUUGACCGUGCAAAGGUAGCAUAAUCAUUAGUCUCUUAAUUAGAGGCUGGAAUGAAUGGCUUGACGAGAAAUCAACUGUCUCUUAAUAAAUUUUUGAAUUUAACUUUUGAGUCAAAAGGCUUAAAUUCUUCUUUAGGACGAGAAGACCCUAUAGAGCUUGACAUUUUACUUUUAUAUAGUUUUUUGUUUGUCUUUCUAUAUUUAAUGAUGAUGUUUUGUUGGGGUGACAUGAAGAAUAGAUAAACUCUUCAUUAUUAUAUCAUUUAUUUAUGUUUGUUAUUUUGAUCCAUAAUUUAUGAUCAUAAGAUUAAGUUACCUUAGGGAUAACAGCGUAAUUGUUUUUGAGAGCUCAUAUCGACAAAGCAGAUUGCGACCUCGAUGUUGGAUUAAGAAAAAUUUUGGGUGCAGGAGCCCAAUGAUUAGGUCUGUUCGACCUUUAAAUUCUUACAUGAUCUGAGUUCAGACCGGCGUGAGCCAGGUCGGUUUCUAUCCUAAGAUUGUUAACCCAUAUUAGUACGAAAGGACCAUAUGGUUAAAAUAUUUUUUGUUAUAUUGAUUAAUAUUAAUUUAUUUACAA